rnacentral:rRNA from 1 species
CGUAGGUGGCAAGCGUUGUCCGGAUUUAUUGGGUUUAAAGGGUGUGUAGGCGGUCUUUUUAAGUCAGUGCUGAAAUACUCCAGCUUAACUGGAGGGGUGGCAUUGAUACUGGGAGACUUGAGUGUAGUCGAGGUAGGCGGAAUUGACGGUGUAGCGGUGAAAUGCUUAGAUAUCGUCAAGAACACCGAUAGUGAAGACAGCUUACUAGGCUACAACUGACGCUGAGGCACGAAAGUGUGGGGAUCAAACAGGAUUAGAUACCCUGGUAGUCCACACUGUAAACGUUGAUGACUCGCUGUGUGCGAUAUACAGUACGCGGCUAAGCGAAAGCGAUAAGUCAUCCACCUGGGGAGUACGCCGGCAACGGUG